AAUUUCCUGUGCAUUUGUGGUUUUCGACAGGAGCUCUGUACCAGAGGCCUCAUGCAGCCACACCAAACGAGUGUGGGCACCUAAGGUUUCUAAGAGGGUUCUCCUGCUGCUCUGGGUCUCAUCUGAUUGGUGUCCAUCCACACAUUCCCAGCCAAGGUUAUUUAUGCUAGAGGAGGAAGAAUGCCCUCCCCAGAGUCAGUUCCUUGGGAAAAGAAGAGCUGUUGAGGCUCAAGCCUCCAAAGAAGAAAGAGUCUCUGCAACAGCUAAAGUUUCAUGGGGGGACUGAGAGUCUAUUCAUGAUUGAUUCUCAAUGUAUUAGCAUAGUGCUGGACAGGAAGGUGCUUAAUAAAUGUUUGACAAAGGAAGGAGAGAGAAAGGGAGGGAUUGGAGAAUGGCAUGAAUGGAAAGCACGUAAUGCAUUAUUCAGAAAUAAUAUGAUGAUAACAUAGUCGUGUUUUCAAAGCUGAUUCAUUGCACUCAUUGACACCUAGAAUCAAUAAAACAAAUUAAGUCACUUUGCAUGUUGAAUAAUGUAUUUAUAAAGAUAAAAUAACAGUAGACAACUAAAAAGCAACAAAAAAGUACUCUUUGGAACUUAAGCAUAAAGAUAAACAGCAGUGGUCAUAUUUUAAGAUAAAUUCAAAACUCUAUAGUGUCAUAGCCAUUUGUUCUCUCUAUGCCCCAUUCUCCAGAGCAAAUUAAAACACUACCCAUUUAUUUAUGGGUAAAUGCAAGCUGGACAUAGAGGUAAUAGAAUUGACUGCAACUAGUCAGUUUGGUAUUUAGAAAAGGCCAACUAAUCAGAAACUGCAUUGAAGAAAUUUACAGAUAUCUAGGUUUCCUGCCGUUGAGAGGGAUUAACCACACAGAAAUUCAGCAAAUGUUCAAACGUAUUUAAUUAUAUAUCAAGGAAAAACAUCUCAGUGCAGAAAAAGAAAAAGAUUAAGGAAAUUAACUUUUUUUUUUUUAAGUAUAAGUCUUUCACUUCUUUGAGAUCACACAAGCUACUCAGUUGAGGUCCAGAAAAAUAGCUCUAAGUGACAGGUAUAUGGCAAAAGAACACACCACUGUGAUGGAAGUAGAAGAGGAAUAAUUAAGAUAUAUCAUUUUUAUAAAAUCAAAAUCUCAAAACUAAGGAAUUGUUCCUUCAGCAGCUCAGCUAGUGACAUGUAUUAAAGUUCUCAAUGUCAGGAGAAGUCACUAUAAUUUUAUGUGAUUUUAGUUUGGGGAAAAUAAAAUAUAACCGAGGAGAAAAAUCAAAAAACAUUUCCAAGGCAAAUUCAGAGAAAACUCCAUUUUGACAUCAGUCUUGCAAAGAUUGUAUUAAUGAGGCAUGUAGUUUGUUUUGAAGGGUACUUUCUUAGCUGCUGUGGGGUGUUCUCAUAGCUAUACUAAGAUGAUACAGGCUUUUUAUGUGCCAUAAAUUUCACCUAUGAAACUGACUAGUACAAGAGCUCAGUGGGUCCCAAAUUUCAGCCAGUGAUAAUUUCUGUCACAUCUUUUGCUACUUGUACUGCCAUUUAACAUGGGUUUUUUUCUCCUAUAAAUCAAAUUAUUUUUUAAUCUUAAUAUAUUUUACAAGAAACGUAAUGUGUAUUAACAAUCAAAAUAACAAAAUAAUAAUAAUCGUAAUUUAAGACUAUUUCGAAGCUAAAUCAACGAGAUAGAAUAUACUGGUAGAGAAGAAAUUAGACUCCUUAGAGCUCAUGGGAAANNNNNNNNNNNNNNNNNNNNNNNNNNNNNNNNNUCAUAUGCUCAGACUACAGUUUGCUUUUUGUGGCUUUAUUUAAGAAGCAAGUUAAUGUUUACAUGACAUUGAACUUCAAAGUCCAGGCAAUAAGGAGGAAAAUAAAGUGAGAGAGAAAAACAGUUGGCUUGUCACUUCUUGCUUUUCCUCACCCUGCAGAGAGGCCCCAGGAGGCAGAAGCAUGCAGACAUUGGAAGGCCCCAAGGCAGGGGGUUCCUUAUCUUACCAGGGUACAAUACUUUUAAAUUAAAUUAUAAAAUGUUAUCAUGCCGAGAUACAAAUGCUAUGUUUUCUAACUCACAUGGUACUUAUGCUUGCUGGAGUUUCCUUAUGUCUUUAAAAUAAUAAUCUUUUUUCUACAGUCUUGGUGUAAAAUUCUUUACCUUACUUCCUUUUUAUGAUGCAUUCUCUGGCCAUGUUGUGUGUCUUUGCUGUGAUGCUCUUGGAUUAUAGGGGUGAGUACUGGCAAUGAAACAAAGGAGGACAUGAUCUCUAUCAUACAACGAAGCAGCAUCAUUCUUUUCAAGUACUUGCUUUCUGAUUCUUCCUCUUGUGGGGGAUUUUCACUUAUUCCUGACUUUUCAGUUAGGCCAGCCUCAUCCAUGACACCAGUAGGGUGGACAAGACAUGAGCGCUUGCCAGAUGGGCCCCUGGACUAGACAUCCUUCCAGGUUUGCCUCAAAGGGAACUUCCAUUUCUGGAGGCAGCAGUAAACCAGUGCCUCCCUGGAGGGAAAUCACUACUGCAUUUUGACCGCAUCACAUGGUAUUUUGAGGUGUUCAUGGAUACAUUUAGAAAUGUUAAAUUCCAUAAAAGUUCCCUUUAAAGUUUGGCUCCAUAGUUGACAGGUCUGUGUGUUCCUAAAAGAGUAUCUGAAAGACAGGAAAGGAAGCUGGAGAGAUGUCCUUCAAACGAAAAGGCCAGAUGAGAUUUAAAGAGCUAACUGCCUGCUCCCUCAAGGAGGGGGAACAUAACUCUUCAUUCCUUAAGGGGAGCUAUACAGUACGACUUCCUUCCAAAGAUCACACUGUGGAAGGUGAACUUUACAGUGGAGAGACCUGACCAACACGACCUCAGCCAGGUGAUCAAGGUCACCAUCAACAGUGAUACCUCAUGUUGAUGAUUUGCACCUUGACAUGAUGUCAUGAAAAUGGCACUUUGCCUCUAUGGUCUUCCUCUCUAAAACCUAUAACCCCAGUCUAAUAAUGAGAAAAACAUAAGAUAAACACAAAUUGAAGGAAGGCCUAUAAAUACCUGAUCAGUAGUCUUCAAAACUGUCAAGGUCGGAGUUCCCUUGUGGGCAGCGGGUUAAGGAUGUGGUGUUGUCACUUCAGCAGCUCAGCUUGCUGCUCUGGCCUGGAUUUGACCCCUGGCCCAGGAACUUCUGCAUGCUGUGGGUUCAGCCAAAAAAAACCCAAAAAACCAAAAAAUACAACAAAACUGUGAAGGUCAUCAAAAACAAGGAAAGUGUGAGAAACUAUCACAGCCCAGAGAAGCCUCAGGAGGUAUGAUAACUAAAUGUAAUAUGGUAUCCUGAAUGCUUUCCUAG
ensembl:lncRNA